AAAAAGGCAAUGAAGGGAAGAGUAGAAAGGAAUUUCUCUUAAAGAGAGCUGGGUUAAGGUGAAAGCCAGCAGAGAAUGAACUUUUGAACAUGGACCUUGAGCUUCAAAGCUGAAACUAAGUAGGCUUUGGCGGGAUUUCCCGUUACAGAGUAGGAGUGUGACAGCACUUUACGAGGCAUACUGCCGUGAGGCGUAUGUGAAAAGGGUGGUAUCGCGAUCAAACUCGCCCCUUAG
rnacentral:ncRNA from 1 species